rnacentral:rRNA from 1 species
GAUGAACGCUAGCGGCAGGCUUAACACAUGCAAGUCGAGGGGUAGAGGCUUUCGGGCCUUGAGACCGGCGCACGGGUGCGUAACGCGUAUGCAAUCUGCCUUGUACUGGGGGAUAGCCCAGAGAAAUUUGGAUUAAUACCCCAUAGUAUUUUCGGUUGGCAUCAACUGAUUAUUAAAGUUUUUCGGUACAAGAUGAGCAUGCGUCCCAUUAGCUAGUUGGUGUGGUAACGGCAUACCAAGGCUACGAUGGGUAGGGGUCCUGAGAGGGAGAUCCCCCACACUGGUACUGAGACACGGACCAGACUCCUACGGGAGGCAGCAGUGAGGAAUAUUGGUCAAUGGUCGCAAGACUGAACCAGCCAUGCCGCGUGCAGGAUGAAGCAUCUAUGGUGUGUAAACUGCUUUUGUACGGGAAGAAACACUCCUACGUGUAGGAGCUUGACGGUACCGUAAGAAUAAGGAUCGGCUAACUCCGUGCCAGCAGCCGCCGUAAAAC